AAGUAUCUCAAAAGGUCCAAUGAACCGCGGACUCAGCUUCCCUUUAUUUCCGAACCUCAUAACUCCUUUCAUUGGAGAAACCGCGGACUCAGCUUCCCUUUCUUUUUGAACCUCAUAACGCCUUUCAUUGGAGAAACCUUCAAUAAGACCUUCUCGCCCACCAUUUAAGAUACAUCUCGAACCUUCCGGUCUGUAUAACUCUUCUG
rnacentral:lncRNA from 1 species